AAGAAAGAAAAACUGACUGUUAUUAUUAUUAAACUCUUGCCCCCUGGGAGAAGAGUGAAAACAUGUUGUUCUCUUGAGAAAAUCUCUUGUUGCUCUACUUUGCUCUUUUAACAGGGGAAUGCUUUGCUGCUCCAACGCUGUGACUUUCUGCACCGACAUCUUCACGAGGCACACCAAACAAAAAAAAAACCUUCCACAGCCGCUGCUGCCGGUCUCGUCGUCUGCUUUUGAUGCAGCAAAGCUGGGUGCAAGAGUUGUGCCGAGCAAACAGAGGUGAUCAGCGUUGGUGGCGACAUGCGCAGAAGAGUGUCUGCUUUGAGUCAAGCAGAACUGAUCUAUCAUUUCCACAGCAACGAUCAGAAGCAAGACCUUGCCCACAGUGAGCUCCAAACAGUUUGUUUAAUCUCAACGUUGCAUCACGCAAGUAUUUUUAGUGUUGUUGAGAUUAAUAUCCAGUCACCAUGUCUCUUUUUAACAGUUGUGGUCUUGGAUUUUCAGUCACUACAGGAGUCAGAAAACUCUUUGACAGGUUGCUUUCUGAAAAGGAUUUCAGGAAGCUAGCUCUCAGGAUCAGAGCAGAGUCUUUUGGGACGAUUCUUCCAAUGUGCCUGAAGAAAACACUAACCCAGACCGGGAAGUUUGGCGUGAGGAAAAGAAAAUGGCUUCCACAAAGUAAACAUCGCAAGCUGAAAAGAAAGUAGACGGUGAAAUCACAGCUAUCGAUUUGACAAGGAACACAUCACAAGCUGCACAUACAGUAUCUUCAAAUUGAAAAGUACCCUGGAUGAGGAUAUCUGUGAAACCAUAGCCCAAAGAGAACAUUUUGAUUUUCUUUUCCAGUCUUCCCAAAGGAAGACUUUGGAUGGGAAAGUUUUCUCUGAGGGACAAAAAGUUGAAUUUGAAACCAGUGAUGUUGAUUUGACAAAGAAGACGUUACAAUGCGGUGCGUUGUUUGAAGAAUUGAAAAUGACCCCUGAUGGGGAAGCAUGCGAUCAUGACAAUACAGUCUUUGAGAACAGAUUCUCCACUGUUCCAAGAAAAAAAACUUCCCUGGACCAGGAAGUUAUUAUGUCUGAGGAGAUUGACAUCACAGCCUUCGCUGUAAUUUCAACGAUUACAUAUAUCGCUUUGGCAGAGAAAACUUUUCUAGAUGGUACGUUCUCCAGUCUCUUUGAAUGGAAUUACCACUGAUAGCAUUUGUGCUAACAUUAGCAUUUUGGCUAAUUUUAGUUUAUACACUAAUACUGAAUAGAGAAGUCCAUGUUAGUCAACAUGCUUGAGAUUAUCCGCAUGCUGUUUAGUAAAUGUUAGCUAAGCUUAGCGUUGAUGCUAAUUUUAACCUGAUGCUAAUUUUUAGCAUCAGAGCACUGGGUUCCAACCAGCUUUUUCAGGCCCCGUUUAAAUUUCUUCAGAAAUUUUCUAGUCUGCACAUACAGUCCUCAUUCAAAGACAUGGACUGUCACCUGGGUGGGUUUUAGGCUAAUCAUCAGGAAGAAGCAGCAAUGGGCCACUGAUGAACUGUAAGGUAGGAGACUUUUAGACUCCAGUACUAAAAGGUGGUGAUGCAACAUAAGAGCCGCUGCUGCAAUCACCCCAUCAUCAUCAUCAUCAUCAGUGUUUCUCUCUGCAGUAGUCUAAACCAUUUAAAUAGAUUUUGAAAUCAACUUUAUUCCAUCCACACAACGGCAGACAACCAGAGGCAUUAAAACGUGUGGGAUUAUAUGUAAUUCCCUUUCUCUUCAGUACUUUAUGCCUGACUCUACAUGGAUAUUCUGCUCCAUUUUUAAAGUCGAUAAGUAAAGGAAAACUGACUCUUCAUAAGAUCUGCUGUGUGAUUCCUGCUCGUCUUGUGACGGGCAGUGCUGUGUGACAUCUGGUCAGUAAAUGUAAACAAAGCGUUGCGUAACCAGCGGCGCCCCUCGUGGUCUUGACUCAUGAAGAAUGAGCAGAAAUCUGGGAAAAUGUCACAGUGCAAAUACUUUUUUUUUUUUUUUUUACUAGCGUGUGUGUAACGCAGUGAUGUAAUAUUCUGUUAAAAGGAAUAUA